rnacentral:rRNA from 1 species
GAUGAACGCUGGCGGCGUGCCUAAUACAUGCAAGUCGAGCGAACGGACGAGAAGCUUGCUUCUCUGAUGUUAGCGGCGGACGGGUGAGUAACACGUGGAUAACCUACCUAUAAGACUGGGAUAACUUCGGGAAACCGGAGCUAAUACCGGAUAAUAUUUUGAACCGCAUGGUUCAAAAGUGAAAGACGGUCUUGCUGUCACUUAUAGAUGGAUCCGCGCUGCAUUAGCUAGUUGGUAAGGUAACGGCUUACCAAGGCAACGAUGCAUAGCCGACCUGAGAGGGUGAUCGGCCACACUGGAACUGAGACACGGUCCAGACUCCUACGGGAGGCAGCAGUAGGGAAUCUUCCGCAAUGGGCGAAAGCCUGACGGAGCAACGCCGCGUGAGUGAUGAAGGUCUUCGGAUCGUAAAACUCUGUUAUUAGGGAAGAACAUAUGUGUAAGUAACUGUGCACAUCUUGACGGUACCUAAUCAGAAAGCCACGGCUAACUACGUGCCAGCAGCCGCGGUAAUACGUAGGUGGCAAGCGUUAUCCGGAAUUAUUGGGCGUAAAGCGCGCGUAGGCGGUUUUUUAAGUCUGAUGUGAAAGCCCACGGCUCAACCGUGGAGGGUCAUUGGAAACUGGAAAACUUGAGUGCAGAAUAGGAAGGUGGAAUUCCAUGUGUAGCGGUGAAAUGCGCAGAGAUAUGGAGGAACACCAGUGGCGAAGGCGACUUUCUGGUCUGUAACUGACGCUGAUGUGCGAAAGCGUGGGGAUCAAACAGGAUUAGAUACCCUGGUAGUCCACGCCGUAAACGAUGAGUGCUAAGUGUUAGGGGGUUUCCGCCCCUUAGUGCUGCAGCUAACGCAUUAAGCACUCCGCCUGGGGAGUACGACCGCAAGGUUGAAACUCAAAGGAAUUGACGGGGACCCGCACAAGCGGUGGAGCAUGUGGUUUAAUUCGAAGCAACGCGAAGAACCUUACCAAAUCUUGACAUCCUUUGACAACUCUAGAGAUAGAGCUUUCCCCUUCGGGGGACAAAGUGACAGGUGGUGCAUGGUUGUCGUCAGCUCGUGUCGUGAGAUGUUGGGUUAAGUCCCGCAACGAGCGCAACCCUUAAGCUUAGUUGCCAUCAUUAAGUUGGGCACUCUAAGUUGACUGCCGGUGACAAACCGGAGGAAGGUGGGGAUGACGUCAAAUCAUCAUGCCCCUUAUGAUUUGGGCUACACACGUGCUACAAUGGACAAUACAAAGGGCAGCGAAACCGCGAGGUCAAGCAAAUCCCAUAAAGUUGUUCUCAGUUCGGAUUGUAGUCUGCAACUCGACUACAUGAAGCUGGAAUCGCUAGUAAUCGUAGAUCAGCAUGCUACGGUGAAUACGUUCCCGGGUCU